rnacentral:rRNA from 1 species
GAUGAACGCUGGCGGCGUGCCUAAUACAUGCAAGUCGAGCGAACAGACGAGGAGCUUGCUCCUCUGACGUUAGCGGCGGACGGGUGAGUAACACGUGGAUAACCUACCUAUAAGACUGGGAUAACUUCGGGAAACCGGAGCUAAUACCGGAUAAUAUAUUGAACCGCAUGGUUCAAUAGUGAAAGACGGUUUUGCUGUCACUUAUAGAUGGAUCCGCGCCGCAUUAGCUAGUUGGUAAGGUAACGGCUUACCAAGGCAACGAUGCGUAGCCGACCUGAGAGGGUGAUCGGCGAGACUGGAACUGAGGCACGCUCCAGAAUCCGACGAGAGGCAGAAGGAGGGAAUCGGCGGCAGUGGGGGAAAUCCUGGCGGAGCAAAGCCGUGUGAGUGGUGAAGAAAAUGGGAUCGUAAAACUCUGUUAGUAUUGAAGAACAAAUGUGUAAAAGACUAUGCACUCCGUGACGGGACCGACUCAGAAAGCCACGGCUCGCUACGUG